UGCGCCAUUAUUUGUUAUCAAAUUUUCUGCCGCAAGCGAUUCAUAAUGGCCACCAUCGCACGUGCUUUAAAUUUCCCUUAAAAACAAAUGUUUUUCGAGCCUCUGCGGUAGAGAUCAUCUUUUAAAAAGAUUUUAUUUUAGUAGAGCAGGCCUUGGACAUACAAAAACUCUGGAUUCCACUACCCGAUCACUUUCACUUUUGUUGGGAGGAGACAGAAAGGAUAGCAAUGUUUUGAUCAUAAAAUUUUAUAUGUUGGUGGAAAAUGAAGAUAUUUGCCUUCCAACGCAAAGUCAUGCUUUAAGACAUGUUUUUCCUGAAAGCUGAUAGCCUAUUUUAUCAAAUAAAACCAGUGGUUUGUGGCUGCCACUUUUUUUCUGAAAGAAAUUGGUCCUUGGAAAUGACCUUUCACAAGACUUCAUAAAUCGGGCACCAGUCCCAAAUUGUUCUAUGAUACAAAACAUGUUGGCACGAUUUCAUUGAAGUAAUUUUGACCCAACAAUUCACAAUUUCAAGCGUCAUUCAAACGUGAUUUGCAUGUGAAGAUUUGUUGACAGAAGCGGUUAAAAAAAAAGAUGGAACAAUGAUGAAACAGAGGAGCUUGCCGAUUUGCUCGAUUACCACUUUUUGUUGGAUCCGUUUGAAAUAAGAAUAUAUUCGUUAAAUACAGAUUAUGAAUUGAAAUAAAAAAUACUUGUAAUAGCCUAAUUUGUAAACUAUUUUUAUAUAAUUCA